rnacentral:rRNA from 1 species
GACGAACGCUGGCGGCGUGCCUAAUACAUGCAAGUCGAACGCACUCUCGUUUAGAUUGAAGGAGCUUGCUCCUGAUUGAUAAACAUUUGAGUGAGUGGCGGACGGGUGAGUAACACGUGGGUAACCUGCCCUAAAGUGGGGGAUAACAUUUGGAAACAGAUGCUAAUACCGCAUAAAACCUAACACCGCAUGGUGUAGGGUUGAAAGAUGGUUUCGGCUAUCACUUUAGGAUGGACCCGCGGUGCAUUAGUUAGUUGGUGAGGUAAAGGCUCACCAAGACCGUGAUGCAUAGCCGACCUGAGAGGGUAAUCGGCCACACUGGGACUGAGACACGGCCCAGACUCCUACGGGAGGCAGCAGUAGGGAAUCUUCCACAAUGGACGAAAGUCUGAUGGAGCAACGCCGCGUGAGUGAAGAAGGUUUCGGAUCGUAAAACUCUAGUUGUUGGAGAAGAAUGUAAUCUGAUAGUAACUGAUCAGGUAGUGACGGUAUCCAACCAGAAAGCC